UACGUAGGCAGCGAGCGUUGUUCGGAGUUACUGGGCGUAAAGAGUGUGUAGGUGGUUCUCUAAGUUCGGUGUGAAAUCUCCCGGCUUAACUGGGAGGGUGCGCCGAAAACUGGAGGGCUUGAGUGUGGGAGAGGAAAGCGGAAUUCCUGGUGUAGCGGUGAAAUGCGUAGAUAUCAGGAGGAACACCCGCGGUGUAGACGGCUUUCUGGACCACGACUGACACUGAGACACGAAAGCGUGGGGAGCAAACAGG
rnacentral:rRNA from 1 species